ACUAUGAUAUGUUGUGUUUGGAGUUAUCAUUUGAAGUGACGACUCAGUCUGGGUGUAGUUUUAUCUUUAGAUCUUAUGAACUUUGAGCUAUUUGUUUUGUUUUCGAGUUGCGCGUAAUGUUUGUAUGCCGAUAGAAACAUAAAAUCAAAACAACCGAGUGACGGGGUUGUAGUAGGCUGUAAUUGGAAGAUGUCUCUGAUAAAUUUCAGUAGUGAACGAGAGAGCAAUAAGCGACGAGAGGAAUUACGGACGGCGAGAGAAAGAGCUUUAAAGAAGGCAGAGGCAGAGUUUUACCAGAAGAAGUUGGAGGAGGAGAGGAGGAGGCAGCGGGGCGACGACAAGUGGAUGGCACCGUCAGUCGAGAGUCGAGUGAGGGAGUCCAGCAAGUCUGACAAACAUAAAAAGUCGAAAAAGAAGAAGAAGGAGAAAAAGAAGAAGGCAAAGAAGAAAAAGCACCAGUCAGAGAGUUCCAGUUCGGACAGUGACGGAGAGGAUGAUGACGAAGAAGAGUGGGUGGAGAAGGCAGAUGAGAAGAAAGAAGAUUGUGGUGACAGAACUGUCAGAAAGGAUAAUGUGCCUCAGGAAAGAGACGCAUGGAUGAUCCCGACUGCUGACAUUUCGAACCUGCUAGAACGUGGAACGGACAACUCUGAAAUCCGUGGUGGUGUCAGAGAAAAGCCAGAUAAUGACAGGCUGAACCUCGAUAUGAUGGGACAGAGUUCACGAGAGCUGAACCCAUACUGGAAGGACGGCGGGACCGGCUUGCCGGAAGACCGGCCCCAGCGAAGGGAGCCCGCGGCCCGACAGAAGAACGUCGGAGACGGCGGAGCAGAGUGGCUGCGGCGCGCACUGCGGCGGGCCGAGGAGCAGGCGGCCGCAGAGGGCCGCCCACUGGAGGAGGUGGCCGCUGAGCGCUGGGGGUCUCUGAGACACCUGCAGGACAUGAUAGCCACAGCAGAGGGGCAGAGGGACAGCGGCAGGAGGCGGCCGGCAUUCAGGAGGCCCGCCGAGGACGGCAGCUCACCCAGUCCUGUAGGGGACCGGAGGAGCAGGGGAGGAGCGGGAGGGGGCCACCUCAGUGCGGCCGGCAGCCGCAGAGAGCGCCGGGGCAGCCCGGACAGGAGGGACAGGGGCAGAGCAGCUUGGAAAAAGUCUGACGUGAGAGUCGUGGAAGAGAAGACGAGGGGCACAAGUAGUACUCCGACAAAUGCUGAAAGGACCACACGGAAACAAGCAGGCAGCAGUUCUGAACGCUCUUCAUCGGAGUCCGAAGAAGAAAAGGGAGGGCCGGUGGGUGCUGGAGCCCCACUCACGGAUCUGGAGAUGAACGAGCUGGCGGCCAAGCUGGUCAAAGCAGAAAUCCUCGGCAAUGAGGAGCUCGUAUCUCAGCUGCGAGCAAAGCUGGACGCAGCCCGUGCCUCUCGCAAAGCUGGCGACGAUGACAAGCGUGGCCGAGAAACGAGGGACGAGGAGGAGGUUGUGGUGCUCACCAGGACAGAUGCCAGGGGCAAUGUGCGGCCCGCAGCUGCCCCCAGUUUCGCGCUGGACAGGGAGGCCGACCUAUGGGGAGGUCGUCGAGGCAGGAAGGCGAACAGGAAGAAAACACACGAUUCCAAAGGACAGCGUGUUCAGUAUUUUGCAGACGACUCUAAAUUCAGUCUGCAGGACCUGUACCAACGCGAGAAAUUCGUCUCUGCGGCAGACCAGCAGGCAGAGUUUGUGAAGCUCUCAGCAAAGGGUGUGGAGGGUGGAGCUGCAGAGACGGGGCGGCCGAGUGCAGAUGCGGAACACCAGCGUGCCGUGUCGGACAGCAGGUGGGUGGCGAAGGCCCUGGAGAGCUGCCGCUGGUGCCUGGGCGGCCGGCAGCUGCAGAAGCACCUCAUCGCCGCACUCGGCGACCAGGUGUACCUGUGCGUCCCACCUCAUCGCUCAAUGGUGGAGGGCCACUGUUUGCUCAUCCCAUCUCAACACGUCUCCUGCUCGACACAGCUGGAUGAAAAUGUCUGGGAUGAGAUGCAGAGAUUUCGCAAGGCCCUGGUGGCGAUGUUUUUGGGGCGAGGACUGGACGUCGUGUUCUUUGAGACGGCAGUACACCUGAGCAAGAUGCCUCACAUGGUGCUGGAGUGCGUCCCAGUUCCAAAAGAGGCAGGAGACAUGGCUCCUGUCUACUUUAAGAAAGCCAUCAUGGAGUGCGAGAUGGAGUGGUCGAUGAACAAGAAGCUGGUGGACCUGGACGGCAGCAAGAAUGUUCGGCGUGCCAUUCCCAGAGGACUGCCGUACUUUUGGGUGGGGUUCGGCAAUGAAGACAAGUUUGCACACAUUAUUGAAGAUGAGAAGCAUUUCCCCAAGAAUUUUGCUCAGGAAAUAGUGGGUGGCAUGCUUGACAUAGACCACAUGCUGUGGCGAAAGCCAAAGAUGGAAAAUUUCGAUGCUCAGCGCCAGAAGGUAAUGCAGUUAGUUCAAUGGUGGAAGCCUCACGACUUCACACGAGGAACAAAACGUUCUCAUGACAGCAGUUCAUCAUCAUCAUCAUCACCAUCAUCUGACUCUGAAUGAUAAACUGUAAAACGACGUCAUGAUAUGGCUGAUGUCUCCAGAUUCUCAUCUUGGGAUCAUUAUCUUGAGAGGAACUGCAGUGAACUCUCAAGAGUUUAUCCAGAGUGCUCGCAUUUGGGUUUCGGAGGAGGAUGUAAGAUACUGUAGAGGGCAUAAAAGUCUACACAAGUCCCAUGUUUACCUCUAAAGAUGUGCAGAUAAUAGUGCAUAAGUGCCUCUGUUCCACCAAUGAACCAGCUACUACUAACAUUCAGAUACUUUACCUCUGGUGAUUUCUUUCUGUCCAUUGGAGACUUUAUUGACAUUGACAAGGAGACAGCCAGCAGGAUUAUUAAAAAUAUCUUUCAAGAGAUUGGCCAGUCUUCUUCUAGUGUGAUAGGUAAUUUAGGAGAAGAUGUCGACAAUGAAGAGACUGAUGAACAUAUUAGAGGCAGAAUACGGCUAAGAAAUAUGGAUGGAGUAGAAGAAUAAAAAGAAAAUCCAAAAUAACAGCAGGUCAGGAAUACACCAACAUAAAUUGUAACACUGUGACAGAAAAAGUAUUCAUGCCUGUUGAAUAUAACUGCCACCAUAAAUGCAGUGAGUAAGUUCCUGCUCAAAAUCAGAAAAUGACGCAUAACAUGUAUUACCAGUUAUCUUCAUUGGAUACACAAACGACUUGGUUAUGUAAUGUUUAAAAACUA